AUAGCUGCUGAGUGUCAAGCAGAGGUGCAUCGGGUCCCAUUUUUAGUCUCUUUUCUCAAAUAUCUUUUUAACCUGGAAUCGAGGACACAUUGACUCUGGUGAAAAAAUGUUCUGCUACAAAGAAAGAGCCGUACCCCCACCUGACCGUGAUCAUUAAGCAGCUGAAGAUGGAGGGUUUCCUGCAGAGCAGGUGGACGCACAAACAUCCUGAAAGCCUCAAGAGGCUGAUGGCGUGGUUUAAACAGGGUAAACUGCAGUGUCGGGAGCACGUCACCAAAGAAAUUGAAACCAUGCCAGCAGCUUUCAUGGGGAUGCUGAGAGGAGACAACAUAGGGAAAGCCAUCGUUGCUGUCUGAUGGAUUACUGAUGAAGAUCUUUACUCAAUGAAUAAAGGAUGAUCUAAACAAUAACUGUACUAAGUAUGGUCUUUUCAGUGUUUAUUGAGUUAAUCUUAAUUUUGAACAAAUUUACUUUUAGAUAUAUCAGUAUUUUUCAAUAGAAUAGAGCUUUGUUUGUUUUUAUUUAGUAGUUUACAAAGGUUGUUCUGCUUUCCAUGAUAUAGGCAAAUAAAAAUGUUUUCUGACAACCGUGACACAGUUCUAUCUGAAUGAAUACAAUCAAUCCGAUGUUGUUUUAUAGCUAAAUAGUUAAAAUUGUACCCAGAUCUUUUGUAUUUAUGCCAAAAUAACGUUUUUGUUUAAGUCCUUCUUUCUGGUCUUGUAUGCAUUCCA